UCGGGAAUAUUGCGCAAUGGAGGAAACUCUGACGCAGUGACGCCGCGUAUAGGAAGAAGGUUUUCGGAUUGUAAACUAUUGUCGUGAGGGAAGAAGAUGACAGUACCUCAGGAGGAAGCUCCGGCUAACUAUGUGCCAGCAGCCGCGGUAAUACAUAGGGAGCAAGCGUUAUCCGGAAUUAUUGGGUGUAAAGGGUGCGUAGACGGGAAAUUAAGUUAGUUGUGAAAUCCCUUGGCUUAACUGAGGAACUGCAACUAAAACUGAUUUUCUUGAGUACUGGAGAGGAAAGUGGAAUUCCUAGUG
rnacentral:rRNA from 1 species